UUUUGAUCAGAAAUGUUGCAUUUAAAUCAUUUUAGGUUCUAUGAGAUACCAUUUCCGCAUUCCGCGAGCUGCUUUUUCAUACGAUACAGAAUAAGCCUGAGAAGAAAUAUUCAUGCUAUGAUGAUGCAUACAUAACAGUUAAAAAUCUAAACUAAAUCUAUUCUUCUUGGAACCAUAUCUACAACUGCUUUAACGAGAUUUUACAAAUCAAGUUCCUCCAGUAUAUCGUCUUUUUCCUCAGUCGAGACGUACUUAAUCAGUUUCAGCUUCGAGCAUGUAACGUGUACCCCCCUCCCCCAAUUUCUCUACGGAUUUAGCCUUUCUGAGAGAAUGGUUUUUGUGGAGAUUGGGGGGGGGGGGCUCUUAAUAUAACUUGAUAUUUUUAAGAAGAAAAAAUUGCAAUAAAAC